GUAAUGGCUGCCCUGACUGGCUGCUGGGGUGAGGGACGUGCAAACCUUGCUGCAUGGAAGUAUGGGACUGAUCAGUGCUGCCGGGAUGAGGGAUCUGCGGAGGAGGAAAAAAGCAGGAAAAGAAAGUGAGGCCACAAGGAGUGGAACAACAGUGUUAAGGGAAGAAAAUUCUGAUUGAUCCAUCCCAGGUUACCCAGCCCUAAAUACACUGGGCAAAUACCUGCAUUUCCUGGAGUGACCUACAGAGUAUGUCUGGAGCGAUCAACUUUCUCUGCCUACCACUGUGCAAGGGCCACCACAUAAAUCUUCAAAAUAGGAAUGCUAGGAACUUCCUCAGCAGCAUUCAGCUCCAGUAAGAGAAACCUCAGGUCUGAAAGGACCGAACAUCCAAUCCCAACUCACCUUGUAAAUGGCCAAAGUGAAUAGUAUGUGCAAACUACAAGAAGCUGCUAACUGUGUAAAAGGAAAGACAAAGCCAGAGAAGAACACGGGCAAUAUCUUAAAACCUCAGUUCAACCUCACAAUUUGUUUUUGUAUGAACUGUCUCUUCAAAGACAUGCAGCUACACAAUUUAUUAACGUGUUAAAGGCAUAUGUAUUUCUCUAAAAGCAUUAGUGACUUUAAAAUAUGCCUUUCUUGAGUGUCUGCUACAGACAAACAGUCCAUUUUGAGAGAAAAGAACAAAAGAGAGAGGAUAAGAAAGAAAAAAGCAGAGAUUUUAUAAUACUGAAAAGGCUGUGUGGGAGCACUAAGAGUCCUCCAAUGUGGACUGAAAAAUGCACAGCCACAUUGACAAGGUUAAUCUAAUUCUCCUCUGCUAAAAGAUCUGAAAACUGAUUCUCAUUACAGAAAACCAGCCACUGACAUAAUGUAGGAAUCUGCUUUAGCACUGCUUCCUAUUCCCAAAUGGUAUUGCUUGAGUAGCAUGAUAGAUGAGGGAGAAAUGAGGCAAAGGUUUACUUUAAUUGCCAGCUACCAUAAGCAAGUAUUAAGAUUUGCUACAGAUCGGCCCACAGAACUGGAAGUCCAUUAACAUUUGCCUAGAUACACUCCCAAGCUCUGGAACAUGCACGGCCUUGAGAAACUUUCACCUCUGCUAUAUGUAAACACCCUCAUUUUCAGAAAUCUACAAAUUCUUCACUUUUAUAUUCAACUACUUCAUAUCCUACCACUUCAGAAAUUUCACCAGGGCAACUAUUACAGCAAAGGUAUGGCUGAUGAAGUCAAGAGGCAGGUGCCAGAUAAUGGGAAGCGAAGAAGAAUUCCCUGUGACUCUGAUUUGAAGGAAAGCAGCUGUGAGUGGCUCAGGCUGGUUCACCCAUUUCCUCUCACUACUGUAUUCUAAUAGUGUGUGGUUGAUUCUUGUGCAGAGAAUCCUGACCACUCCAUGCUGUGUAUGCGGAAUGUGCCAACGCAAAAUGACAUUUGCGGCAUGUUUGUCCUCAUUUAUCAGCCUGUGAAGUGGUAAAGUAUUACAGCUUCUGGACUCUUCCUUUGCAGACAGUCUUGGUACCUGGACUCUCUCCAAACUAUAUGAAGAACUCUUUCUCCACUGUCUUCUAUUUCUCACCAUCCUCCUUGGAAAACCCACUGCCAGCUAGAGGAGACAUUGACUGAGUAGGCUUUUGCUGAGCAUCUGCUACCACGUUUCCUCAUUACAUUCUGAAAUUGUACUUUCUAGGAUUCACUAAAGACACGGCACAUAUGACUUGUCAAGUUAAACAUCCUUCCUGUGCAGUAACAGCGCACUUUAAACCCCCUGCUCUGCAACUUAAAUGAACAUAAAAGGAUGUAUACACACCCCACACACAGAGUUAAAAUAGAUGACUAACCAUGCCUAAGAGCUAAAUGCUGCUGGUAGCUUUUCUAUCACCUCGUUGCUGCAGUACUGCAAUUUCUGGAGGUAUAUGAAGUUCUGUAUAGAAAACUCAGUGCUCUGAGCAAGCUGCUUUUCCAAUGCACAGUUCUGCCUCACCAUUUGAGACCUGAGUAACCUCUAUUUUUCAGUCUCUUACAUUGAUAUUUUCAGACCAGUGGCAGUGUCUCUCCUUGAAAUCUGCAAGCUUGUCCUAUUACCAAAAGUUUAGAAGUGCCUUUCAUGCUACUUGAGUAGAAUUCCCCCUCAAAAUGCUUUGAUGCAAAUUUUGCCCUCAGAGAAAAAGCCAGGGAAGAUAUUGUCCCUGCUCUGAAGUCAUCCAAUAUCUUGCUUUAACAAGCUGUCUCUUGGAGAUGGAUAUUCACAGUCCUGCUGGCCUAGAGAAUGAGGUACAUUUUUUUUUCAUGUGUCAGAGCAAAGCACAAUGAUUAAUACAAGCACACUGAGCCAGGUUCUUUCUUUCAGAUAAACAAGCUUAAAUGACAAUUCAAAAAGUGCAGAAAUCCUUCUCCAAAAACUCAAAAUGGCCAGAAAUUAAAAAUUGGCAUUUCCAGCAUUUCUCAAGACUACU